UCGCAUUUCCAGUAUUCGGUCAAGGAACAGCUACGUACUCAGUAAACGGAGAGGUUUGCUUCAACCCUGUGUCUUCAUACAAUGGAUGUCUCAACGGGUCUUCGGCAUUUGGUCUCUACCCUCAAAACUGCUCAAACCUUGGAGUCCUGCAGCCGGAGUUGGGGAGGCAGUUUGAGUAUAUAGCGAACUGGACUGAAGAUAGAACCAAUAAAAAACUCCUCUUGGCCAGAGACAACAACCCCGACACAGGAGGAAGCGACAAGAGUAUCCAUCAGUGCUUUGUGUACGUAGUUGAUCCAGACACUGGCGAUGCUUUCGUCUCUCUGGCCAGGAAUCCCAGAUGGCUCUGUAAAGAUGAGCAACGAGAGGCAUCCUCGGAUUCACAAAACAUCGAAAUGGCUCUGUCAAUGA